rnacentral:tRNA from 1 species
GCGGUCGUGGCGAAGCGGUGAACGCACCGGAUUGUGGCUCCGGCAUUCGAGGGUUCGAAUCCCUUCGACCGCCCCA